AAUAAAAUUACAUGAAAUUAUUGAUUUUUCUCAAAUAUCAACACCACUCAAAUUAACAAAUCUUGAAUCAAGCCUUUCAACCAUUGGCACAGAAGCAUUAUUCACCUUAACAAUGUAUAUAACCAUUAAAAUACAAAAUAAAAUAAUUUUCUCACGAAAAUAUCAAGUCAAGUGCCUUACGCGAAACCAUGUCAAACAGAGAUCGCUUAAUCAUUCAAACACUUGGCACAGAAGCAAGAGCAUUCCUUCUGUUAUGUUCUCAUCCCCAUCAUUAAUCCAUUUCACUUUUGGAUUUUUGAAACCAAAAAAUUUCAAUAACUUCUCCAAUUCAGCUUUCGAAGAACAUUCCACAUCCUCAAGAUAGAAUUUUGCUGGGCUUUCAGAGCCUUUCCAACACCCAAAAUUCUCCGCCACACUGAUGUUUAUGCUUGUUAAGGCUACCAUCUUUAUUCGUUAAUUUUAUAAUAUUAUUUUAAAUAUUGACUUAUCACACACUUCAUUAUCAUAAUUCUAAUAACACUGGUUCAGCUUCAGCAUAAAAGCAUAAUGCUGGUUGUGGAUAAUCAACUUCACAGAUCAACAAUGAGAGCAGCAAGAUUAACACAAUGCUGCAAAUCAACCAUAAUUUCUUGGUAGAAACUAUUUAUUUGCAUGAUAACUUUUGAUCAGCAAACAACCAACAAGGUAAUGUUCUGUAGCUGAAGAACAACUUAUAAAAUAGGAAUAUAUUUGUGUAUAUAUAAGAAGCCACUGACUACACUAUUUACGAUGCAAUUCUGAUCAUAAAGAAUUGCAUUAGGGCGAGAUAAGGAAAUAAAAUCUUCAUACCACAUCUUCCAUUUCUGAAGUGAAGACAUGAAAGAGAGAAAUUAAAGAAAUUCUCAAGUAACCAGAAACCCUUGCCAGUAGAUAAUCUUCAUUCAUCACUUCCCUCCUUCACCUUAAUUUCCAGGAGGCGUUCAACUGGUUGCCUGCAGAUGGGGCAUCGAUCUGUUUGCAAUCGCAAAACCUUGGCACAUGUACCGCACAUACACAUAUGUCGGCAUGGGAGGACAGUAGUAUCUCGUGGUUCCGAAAAGCAGAUGACACAUUCUUUUCCAGAAUCAUUCUCAUCAGAUUCAACUUCCAAAGAGUUCCCAAUCCCAUAAAUCUCCUGCAACUCAUAUCUCGUGCUAUUCACCCAUAGGAUCUGUUUCAUAACCCGGACAAUGUACUUAUCAUUCAUUUUCUUAUCAAACACAGCCAACGUGAUCUGUGAAUUUCCAGAUGAAUUAGCUUCCAAUUCAUCAUUAUUUGAUGGGCACACCUCAGCCUUCACCAUAAGAGGAUAAACCCCUUCAGCACCCUCCUUCUUUAACUCUGCAUCCUCAAACAUUGAGAAAUCAAUCCCUGUUCCAGAAGGUUGUCUAAACUUCUGAUCAAGACCUUGCUCAAACGAUACCUUCACAGGUUUUGUUGCUAUCACGUCACAGUUUGCACCUUCUUUAGCAAAAAACCCAAUUGUAAUGCUGUAACAUAAAUAGGAAAAGGAAAAAUAAAUACACCAUGCCAAUGACAAUUAGAUGUGUUAUAGGAUCAUCAUUCAUUUAAGUCAAACACUUCAAUUUAAAUAAUCAAAUGAAAAAGAAUUCAAGCUGAUCAGGGCAAAACAGUUUGAGAGUAAGAUAAAGAGAAGAAAAAAUAACCCUAGUUCAAAACUUCUUCCGACUGCUCAAUUUUCUCAAAUAUUGACUCCCCUGCAACUGGGAAAAUGAGGCUCCUAUAAGCAGACAAAACUAAACAGUUCUGAGAUAAUAUUAUCAUCAUUUGAAGCUCACUCCAAGAAGAUAGUCCAAUCCACCAAUUUUACCCAGUCAAGGCAAUUAGCGCUUAUAAACAACCUCAUCAGCAAUCUGGGAUUUAACAUUCUCAAAUAAAUAGCAUUAAAAACCAAACCCCAACAUUACUGUAGCUUCGCCUUUUUCAUCAAUUUGAGAAAUCAAAUCCAGCAAUAGCAAUUAACGGGGAAAAAAUGUAUCAUCGGGAAAUUACCUUCCAGGGGCAGUGGCAUCAAAAGUGAACGCGACGAGAAACUUUCCGGGAUUCUCAUCGUCCUCCUCAACCCUAAUGCUAUCUUUCCUUAUAUUCACAUCAUUCCUAAUUGUAACCGCCUUUUGAUACUCAACGGGAGGCGAAACCAUCGGCGGAGCAACACCACAAGGAUAACGAUGGAAAUUAUGAGGAACCGGACCAAACGGCACAUGCGGAGGCGGGUAAUAUCCAGGAGGAUACUGAUGAUAAUGGUAAGGAAUAUUAGGAUUUGGAUACUGAGAUGGGGCCGCAAAUGCGUAUUGGCUAGUUGUGACUGGGGCCUGCGGCGCAGGUGCUGGUCGGUGGUGAUGAUACCUACGGCUAUUGCUUGCUGAAUUUCCCAUUCUGUGAAAAGUUUGGUGUUUGGAUGACGAGAAAAGCGAGGAAGAAAAUGUAAACAAUUAAAGAGAACAAAAAUAAAAGCGAGAUGAUGUUUAAGAGAAGCCACCAGAAACAGCGAUUUUUACAAGGACACGACGCGAAGCGGUUGGCGAUUUGCUUGCUUGACAGCUU
rnacentral:misc_RNA from 1 species